UGGCCCAGAUCGUUUACCGUGAAAAAAUUAGAGUGUUCAAAGCAGGCAGAUCCAAUUUUCUGCCACCGAAUACAUUAGCAUGGGAUAAUGGAAUAGGACCCUGUCCUCCUAUUUUCAGUUGGUUUUGGCAGCGCGAGGACUAGGGUAAUGAUUAAUAGGGAUAGUUGGGGGCAUUAAUAUUUAAUUGUCAGAGGUGAAAUUCUUGGAUUUAUGAAAGAUUAACUUCUGCGAAAGCAUCUGCCAAGGAUGUUUUCAUUAAUCAAGAACGAAAGUUAGGGGAUCGAAGACGAUCAGAUACCGUCGUAGUCUUAACCAUAAACGAUGCCGACCAGCGAUUAGGAGACGUUGAAUACAAAACACCACCAUCGGUUGCGGUCGUCCUUGGCGUCUCGGUUUCGGCCGGGGCGCGGGAUA
rnacentral:rRNA from 1 species